GAAGAACUAACAGCAGCUCCGGACCCCGAGGCUCUGUUUCAGGCAUCUUCCAAAAUGGCCAGGGUUGUUAGUGAGUACUUUUCCCCAGAACAGGCCACAGACUUUAUCAAGGCCACAGUGGAAGGUAUGCUGUCUGCCAGCCCCACCUGUGCCACGACAGCUGGACUGUGGAUGAAGGUUAUACUGAAGGAGUGUGGAGAUGCCAUGCUGGACCAGGUGCCAGCUAUUGUGGAUAUAAUAUAUAGCCACAUGGCUACUAUCCUGGAGGGCAGCUUGA